GAUGAACGCUGGCGGCGUGCCUAAUACAUGCAAGUCGAGCGAACAGACGAGGAGCUUGCUCCUCUGACGUUAGCGGCGGACGGGUGAGUAACACGUGGAUAACCUACCUAUCAGACUGGGAUAACUUCGGGAAACCGGCGCUAAUACCGGAUAAUAUCUUGAACCGCAUGGUUCAAUAGUGAAAGACGGUUUUGCUGUCACUUAUAGAUGGAUCCGCGCCGCAUUAGCUAGUUGGUAAGGUAACGGCUUACCAAGGCAACGAUGCGUAGCCGACCUGAGAGGGGGGUAGGCCACACUGGAACUGAGACACGGUCCAGACUCCUACGGGAGGCAGCAGUAGGGAAUCGUCCGCAAAGGGCGAAAGCAUGACGGAGCAACGCCGCGUGAGUGAUGAAGGUCUUCGGAUCGUAAAACUCUGUUAUUAGGGAAGAACAAAUGUGUAAGUAACUAUGCACGUCUUGACGGUACCUAAUCAGAAAGCAACGGCUAACUACGUG
rnacentral:rRNA from 1 species